GAUUGACCUCGGAUCAGGUAGGGAUACCCGCUGAACUUAAGCAUAUCAAU
rnacentral:rRNA from 3 species